rnacentral:lncRNA from 1 species
GGCGGCGGCCCCGGAGGCUCGGCCUCCGGCCCAGGCGGCACCGGCGGCGGAAAGGCAUCUGUCGGGGCCAUGGGUGGGGGCGUCGGGGCCUCGAGCUCCGGGGGUGGACCCGGCGGCAGCGGCGGAGGAGGCAGCGGAGGCCCCGGCGCAGGCACUAGCUUCCCGCCGCCCGGGGUGAAGCUGGGCCGUGAGUACUAGUGGCGCCCGUGUAGGGUGGUGAUUAGGGUUCCCAAAGCUCCUCAGACAUCCAUCAGAUUCUUUCAUGUGCUUAGAUAGGAGCUCGAGGUCACUGUGCCUCCCCAUACCGGGGAUCCGAGCCCUCUUCCUCCCAGGAAAAGGAGUCUUGGGGUUACCAUCUCUUGGAGAUCAGAAUUACUCGUGGAUCAGAAUUACUAACACUUAAAGAAACGGGUUACAAGUCUCUGUUCUUCCAUUAUUGAGGUCUUGGGUCCUUGAGCCUUAAGAACAGGUAUCUGAUGUUGCUAUUCAUUAUAAUAUUGGAUCAGAGGUCACAGUCGCUUGCAAAUGGGGAUCUAGGGUUAUUGUCUCCUAAGAGAACAAGAAUAAGACCAACCCCGAAAAAGAGGGAUCUGCAUUCCCUGUCCUUCAGAAGAUGGGGAUUUGGAGCGAAUAUCACUUAGAAGCAGGGCUUUGAGGUUACUGUGUUUUGUCCCCAAAGAAUAGGGCCAGGCUUUCCAAACCUGGUACUCAGAUCAUCUUCCCUAUUAAAACCAAGACCUGGCAUCAUUACCCACCCUAAAUCUUGUUGAGCUGUACUGCCAAUGGUGAGAAUUAAUAGUUACUGCCUUUUAGAUAUAAAGACAUUGGGAGUCAGCAUAUCCUUCAAACCAAGUCCAUAGUCCAUGUUUUAAAAUACAUGGCUUGGUGUGUCUCCUUUAACAAAAAUGGAAUGGAGCAGGGUAGGUCACAGUUUCCUACAGAAUAUGGAUCUAAGGUUAUACUUUUUUAAUAAUUGUUCUAAGGUAUGGUGUCAUUGGCUCUGAAAAAAAAAAGUGAUGUAGGGUUAUCUCCCUCUGAAAGAACUUGUCACUGGCCCCUCAAAAUGGAUUUGGUGGCCGGGCGCGGUGGCUCACGCCUGUAAUCCCAGCACUUUGGGAGGCUGAGGUGGGCGGAUCACCUGCGGUCAGGAGUUCGAGACCAGCCUGGCCAACUGGUGGAACCCUGUCUCUACUAAAAAUAUAAAAAAUUAGCUGGGCGUGGUGGCGGGCGCCUGUAAUCCCAGCUUCUCGGGAGGCUGAGGCAGGAGAAUCGCUUGAACCCAGCAGGCGGAGGUUGCAGUGAGUCGAGAUCGUGCCACUGCACUCCAGCUGGGCAACGAGAGCGAAACUGUGUCUCAAAAAAAAAAACAAAAAAAUGGAUUUGGUUCAUC